CCUACGGGGGGCAGCAGUGAGGAAUAUUGGUCAAUGGACGAGAGUCUGAACCAGCCAAGUAGCGUGAAGGAUGACUGCCCUAUGGGUUGUAAACUUCUUUUAUAAAGGAAUAAAACGAGGCACGUGUGCCUUUUUGCAUGUACUUUAUGAAUAAGGAUCGGCUAACUCCGUGCCAGCAGCCGCGGUAAUACGGAGGAUCCGAGCGUUAUCCGGAUUUAUUGGGUUUAAAGGGAGCGUAGAUGGGUUGUUAAGUCAGUUGUGAAAGUUUGCGGCUCAACCGUAAAAUUGCAAUUGAUACUGGCAGUCUUGAGUACAGUUGAGGUAGGCAGAAUUCGUGGUGUAGCGGUGAAAUGCUUAGAGAUCACGAAGAACCCCGAUUGCGAAGGCAGCUUACUAAACUGUGACUGACAUUGAUGCUCGAAAGUGUGGGUAGCAAACAGGAUUAGAUACCCGAGUAGUC
rnacentral:rRNA from 1 species